UCAGGAUGAACGCUGGCGGCGUGCUUAACACAUGCAAGUCGAACGAGCCUUCGGGCUAGUGGCGGACGGGUGAGUAACGCGUGGGAAUCUGCCCUCAGGAGGGGGAUAACGGCCGGAAACGGCCGCUAAUACCCCAUAUGCCGAGAGGUGAAAUGAAUUUCGCCUGAGGAUGAGCCCGCGUCUGAUUAGCUAGUUGGUGGGGUAAUGGCCCACCAAGGCGACGAUCAGUAGCUGGUCUGAGAGGAUGAUCAGCCACACUGGGACUGAGACACGGCCCAGACUCCUACGGGAGGCAGCAGUGGGGAAUUUUCCGCAAUGGGCGAAAGCCUGACGGAGCAACGCCGCGUGAGGGAUGAAGGCCUCUGGGCUGUAAACCUCUUUUCUCAAGGAAGAAGACAUGACGGUACUUGAGGAAUAAGCCACGGCUAAUUCCGUGCCAGCAGCCGCGGUAAUACGGGAGUGGCAAGCGUUAUCCGGAAUUAUUGGGCGUAAAGCGUCCGCAGGCGGCCUUGUAAGUCUGUCGUUAAAGCGUGGAGCUUAACUCCAUUUCAGCGAUGGAAACUACAAGGCUUGAGUGUGGUAGGGGCAGAGGGAAUUCCCGGUGUAGCGGUGAAAUGCGUAGAUAUCGGGAAGAACACCAGUGGCGAAGGCGCUCUGCUGGGCCAUAACUGACGCUCAUGGACGAAAGCCAGGGGAGCGAAAGGGAUUAGAUACCCCUGUAGUCCUGGCCGUAAACGAUGAACACUAGGUGUCGGGGGAAUCGACCCCCUCGGUGUCGUAGCUAACGCGUUAAGUGUUCCGCCUGGGGAGUACGCACGCAAGUGUGAAACUCAAAGGAAUUGACGGGGGCCCGCACAAGCGGUGGAGUAUGUGGUUUAAUUCGAUGCAACGCGAAGAACCUUACCAGGGUUUGACAUCCUGCGAAUCCCUUGGAAACGAGGGAGUGCCUUCGGGAGCGCAGAGACAGGUGGUGCAUGGCUGUCGUCAGCUCGUGUCGUGAGAUGUUGGGUUAAGUCCCGCAACGAGCGCAACCCACGUCUUUAGUUGCCAGCAUUCAGUUGGGCACUCUAGAGAGACCGCCGGUGAUAAACCGGAGGAAGGUGUGGAUGACGUCAAGUCAUCAUGCCCCUUACAUCCUGGGCUACACACGUACUACAAUGCUACGGACAAAGGGUUGCAAGCUCGCGAGAGUUAGCUAAUCCCAUAAACCGUGGCUCAGUUCAGAUCGUAGGCUGCAACUCGCCUACGUGAAGGAGGAAUCGCUAGUAAUCGCAGGUCAGCAUACUGCGGUGAAUACGUUCCCGGGCCUUGUACACACCGCCCGUCACACCAUGGAAGUUGGCCAUGCCCGAAGUCGUUACUCCAACCCUUGUGGAGGAGGACGCCGAAGGUGGGGCUGAUGACUGGGGUGAAGUCGUAACAAGGUAGCCGUACCGGAAGGUGCGGCUGGAUCACCUCCU
rnacentral:rRNA from 2 species